UAAGUCAAUGAAGUUAUAUUGGUUUAUUUUUACAAGUAUAAACAUUGUAAGGACGUUGAUUGUGCGUCCCUUUUAUUGCGACAGUUGGGAUUGACGCAUGCUAGUGUAGUGCUUUAAGCAUUACGCGUAAAGGGUAGGAAUGCAUGAGAGUAAGCUAAAGUAAUUAUGUUUAAAAUACAAAAAAAAUCAAAGAUUCUUUAGAGGUUUCAUGGACGAUUAGGUUGUAUCACAUAAAAUGUGGUAGCCGAUUAUCGUUAACUGCAUUGAGAGGUAGAGCAGUACCAGCUGUGUAGUAAGCACAGCCGAUCAUUUGAUUGCAGCAGCGCAAAACAUUUGCCAAUGAGCGAAAGCUUGAGCGAACCAAACUGGUAAGGGAGUGAAGGAGAAUUCUGUAAACCUUUAAUGCUAGGGAAUAACUAGAGCGUACCUAGAGAGAAGAACGGACUAAUGCUGGUGCCAGAAGUCUCGGUUAGGCCAGUCGUUCGAGCAAUAAAGAUCAUGAUUGGGCGUAAAGCGUUCUUCGGCGGUGCUCUUUUGUCUACUACGUAGGCUCUGGAACAACUCGUUUGACAGCGACUAAUAGAAUUGAAAAGUCACCGAUAAAAUGGGAAUAAUUUUUUAGGAAUAUCACUUGCGAAGGCAAUUAGUUGGGUCAAAACAGUAGCUUAGGAACGAAGGGAUGGGGAUCAAAUACCAUUAGAUACGGUAGUAGUCCAUUCAGUCAACGAUGGCUUUUAUGUCUUGGCCUUUGGCCUUGAAUAAGCAAACGCGGAAAAAGCCCGCCUCAAUAGUACGAGCGCAAGCUUAAAAUUGAAACAAUUAAUGCGUGGAGAUUCAAUAUGGUGGAACAUGCGAUUUAAUUCGUCGCUACGCGCUAACCUUACGCGGUCUUGAUUAAUUACAAUAGCUUAGUUUGUAAACAAAACUGAGUAUGUAGUUAUAGCUUUGCAUGGUCGUGGUCAGCUCGUUUUUUGUAAAGUUGGGUUAAUUCCAUAAACGAGCGAAACGCGCAUGUUUAUAUUAACUAAUUUCAGUUAAGCCUGAAAUGUACCUAUAAACCACAGCGAAAGAAAUUUUCGAGGAAGAGCGCAUCAUCACAGAUCCUCAUGAAGUUCAUGAUCGCGGCUAUACGCGUGUUACAAUUGAUAAACCAAACAGUAGCAAUUAUGCAAAUAAGUGCAAACCUGUAAACCUUAUCUAAACGGAUUGCAUUCUGCAACUCGAAUGUAUGAAGUAGGAAUCAUAAGUAAUCGUUUUAAAGAAUUGAAACGGUGAAAUUUGUUCAUCUCCGGCUAUUAAUAGCCCGUCAAUGCCUGGUUAACGGGUGUACAGGAAAAGUGUAGAUUGUAUAACUACAUUUGAUUGUAUAUUUGGCAGCCGGGCAUAAGUCGUAACACAGUAAUCGUACCGGAAGGUGCGGUUGGCGCCAUUUUUUAGUUUUUCGCCUACUGUUCCUUGUUUUUUUUGUAAAGGCAAAAAAACAGCCAAACACAAGAGAGAUGGUGAAAACGAAGUAUAGUAAUUUGAUUUUAUUAUCAAUGCUAAUUUUU
rnacentral:rRNA from 1 species